GGAGGAAAAGAAACCAACAGGGAUUGCCUUAGUAGCGGCGAGUGAAGCGGCAAAAGCUCAAAUUUGAAAUCUGGCGCCUUCGGUGUCCGAGUUGUAAUUUGAAGAUUGUAACCUUGGGGUUGGCUCUUGUCUAUGUUUCUUGGAACAGGACGUCACAGAGGGUGAGAAUCCCGUGCGAUGAGAUGCCCAAUUCUAUGUAAGGUGCUUUCGAAGAGUCGAGUUGUUUGGGAAUGCAGCUCUAAGUGGGUGGUAAAUUCCAUCUAAAGCUAAAUAUUGGCGAGAGACCGAUAGCGAACAAGUACAGUGAUGGAAAGAUGAAAAGAACUUUGAAAAGAGAGUGAAAAAGUACGUGAAAUUGUUGAAAGGGAAGGGUUUGAGAUCAGACUCGAUAUUUUGUGAGCCUUGCCUUCGUGGCGGGGUGACCCGCAGCUUAUCGGGCCAGCAUCGGUUUGGGCGGUAGGAUAAUGGCGUAGGAAUGUGACUUUACUUCGGUGAAGUGUUAUAGCCUGCGUUGAUGCUGCCUGCCUAGACCGAGGACUGCGAUUUUAUCAAGGAUGCUGGCAUAAUGAUCCCAAACCGCCCGUCUUGAAACACG
rnacentral:rRNA from 1 species